CUUGACUUGAUUCUUCUACUUCUCUCCUCUUUUGAUGAGAAAGAGGCGCUCCUUCUUCAUUAUGUAGAAGAGACAAGCCUUGAAAAGGAUGAAGAGUUGGGAAACUUGCCUGUGACCCCUUGCAUCAUUGUCUGUGUGGUGGUCUGUGCCUCCUCUUCUGGAAAGACACCUGCUUAACCCUCAACUCUGAUUUCACAAUAAUAUUAAGACCCUCCUGAUAUGCUGCUGAUCGAUUCAUGCUCAGUGUGGACCGCAAGAUUGUGAAUGAUGACAUCACUACAUUCAUCGCUGCUGUUAGCCUAAUGUUCGGCAGUUAUUACUGUUUCAACAUUCACUACCCUACUGAAUUGGCAUCAGUGCUUGAAUUUUUGCAAAGGUGUUUUUUUCAUCAUCAAUCCUGAAAAGGGCACAAAGGUGGUGGAAAAGAAGAACAAAAAACAACUCCCAGUGAACCCAAGAGUCUUCACCUUAAUCUCUGACCUUUCGGAUUACAAGUGGCGAGAGACAUUGUAAAUGGCCUGCAAAGGUGCCCAGCAACUUGUGUUGUUCCUUGUUCUGCUUUAGUAGUUAUUAAUGUAAAUGUUCAACUUAAACUUUACCUAUCUAACUAAAGUGUCAGUUAGAUAGCGGAAUCUAAAUUUUAAAUGCAUAGUCUUGACCGAUUUCUUGUCUGAUUUUAAGACUGAUCUUAAGCCAUUGUAUACUUAUGAUAAAACACAAGAACAGAAAAAAAACACUAAUGUUUAAAUGCCUGCCAGUCUUUAUUAAAAAUACUUGGGAC
ensembl:lncRNA